AGAAUUGUCCCAGGACAGCUACCUCGGUGAUGAGUUUAAAUCACAGAUUGACGUGGCACUCUCACAAGACUCCACAUACCAGGGAGAGCGGGCAUACCAGCACGGCGGGGUCACCGGGCUGUCCCAGUACUAGAAGCGGCGGAAGAGCUAAGCUAUGUGGCUUAGUCUAUCAGCAUCUUAUUCUGGGUAAUAAAAAAUAAAAAUAAAUGGA
rnacentral:lncRNA from 1 species